rnacentral:misc_RNA from 1 species
CCCCUUUUGUUGUCAAUAUUUACCCAUUUCUUAGUCUCUAUGGGAGCACAGAUUUUCCCCAAGAUUAUGCAUUCUUUGAAGGGAGUACCCAUCCUGUUACAGAUGGGCCUAAUGUCUACUACAAUGCAUUUGAUGGAAAUUUUGAUACUUUAGUUGCUGCCCUCAACAAACUUGGAUAUGGUCAGAUGCCUAUAGUUAUUGGGGAGGUGGGUUGGCCAACUGAUGGAGCCAUCAGUGCAAACCUCACUGCCGCAAGAGCUUUCAACCAGGGACUCAUAAAUAAUGUUUUAAGUAACAAAGGAACCCCUCUUAGACCAGGUGCUCCCCCCAUGGAUAUUUAUCUUUUCAGCCUACUAGAUGAAGGGGCAAAGAGCACACUUCCAGGAAAUUUUGAAAGGCACUGGGGGAUUUUCUCCUUUGAUGGUCAGGCUAAAUAUCCACUGAACCUUUAUUUGGGCAACAAGUUAUUGAAGAAUGCCAAGAAUGUUCAGUAUCUCCCAUCUAGGUGGUGUGUGGCAGACCCAACCAGAGAUCUGUCUGGGGUGACAAACCACAUGAGAAUUGCUUGUAGUGUUGCAGAUUGCACAACACUUAGUUAUGGGGGAUCAUGCAAUGCAAUUGGAGCAAAAGGAAAUAUCUCUUAUGCUUUCAACAGUUACUAUCAGCUUCAGGAUCAGAAUGCACAAAGCUGUGAUUUCGAUGGUCUUGGCAUGGUUACAUUCCUGGAUCCAUCAGUUGGUGAUUGCAGGUUUCUUGUUGGUGUCACUGAUACAAGUUCAGGUUUUGGACCAUGUCCUUGGUGGAUUGUCAUUUGGAUCUUGAUGCUCUGGGGGAUGUGGGUCUUUCUAAUGUGAAAAGAAGUUUCCAUAAGUGGUUUUUUCCGGGUCCCCUCUUUAGAAACUAUUAGUGUUAAAAGAUUCAUAGGUGAGAGAAUACUUAGUAAUUUGGAUGUUUGUUCAAAAUGAUAGAAGGUUAUUGUGUAUGUGAUAGCAUCAUUUUAGGCAAUAGUAUAAACUUACACGUAUUGAAUAGCUGGCCUCCUACUAGCCGCAGGAUUGCAAUUAAAAGUAGGCUUGGCCACGGUCGGAUUUCGGCCUGGUUCUAGCUUAAAAUAUUAAAUUAAAGCAUGCAGUAUAUUUUUU